rnacentral:rRNA from 1 species
GGGUUCGAUUAUGGCUCAGAUUGAACGCUGGCGGGAUGCUUUACACAUGCAAGUCGAACGGCAGCACGGACUUCGGUCUGGUGGCGAUGCAGAACGGUGAGUAAUGUAUCGGAACGUGCCUAGUAGCGGGGGAUAACUACGCGAAAAGCGUAGCUAAUACUGCAUACGCCCUUCGGGGAAAGCGGGGGACCUUCGGGCCUCGCACUAUUAGAGCGGCCGAUAUCGGAUUAGCUAGUUGGUGGGGUAACGGCUCACCAAGGCGACGAUCCGUAGCUGGUUUGAGAGGACGACCAGCCACACUGGGACUGAGACACGGCCCAGACUCCUACGGGAGGCAGCAGUGGGGAAUUUUGGACAAUGGGGGAAACCCUGAUCCAGCCAUCCCGCGUGUGCGAUGAAGGCCUUCGGGUUGUAAAGCACUUUUGGCAGGAGUAGAAGAAACGGCACGGGAUAAUACCCCGUGCAACUGACGGUACCUGCAGAAUAAGCACCGGCUAACUACGUGCCAGCAGCCGCGGUAAUACGUAGGGUGCAAGCGUUAAUCGGAAUUACUGGGCGUAAAGCGUGCGCAGGCGGUUCGGAAAGAAAGAUGUGAAAUCCCAGAGCUUAACUUUGGAACUGCAUUUUUAACUACUGAGCUAGAGUGUCAGAGGGAGGUGGAAUUCCAAGUGUAGCAGUGAAAUGCGUAGAUAUGCGGAGGAACACCGAUGGCGAAGGCAGCCUCCUGGGAUAACACUGACGCUCAUGCACGAAAGCGUGGGAGUAAACAGGAUUAGAUACUCCUGGUAGUCCACGCCCUAAACGAUGUCAACUAGCUGUUGGGGCCUUCGGGCCUGGUAGCGCAGCUAACGCGUGAAGUUGACCGCCUGGGGAGUACGGUCGCAAGAUUAAAACUCAAAGGAAUUGACGGGACCGCACAAGCGGUGGAUGAUGAUUAAUUCGAUGCAACGCGAAAACCUUUACCUACCCUUGACAUGUCUGGAAUCCCGAAGAGAUUUGGGAGUGCUCGCAAGAGAACCGGAACACAGGUGCUGCAUGGCUGUCGUCACUCGUGUCGUGAGAUGUUGGGUUAAGUCCCGGCAACGAGCGCAACCCUUGUCAUUAGUUGCUACGAAUUUCACGAGACUGCCGGUGACAAACCGGAGGAAGGUGGAUGACGCUGUCCUCAUGGCCCUUAUGGGUAGGGCUUCACACGUCAUACAAUGGUCGGGACAGAGGGUCGCCAACCUGCGAGGGGGGAGCCAAUCCCAGAAACCCGAUCGUAGUCCGGAUCGCAGUCUGCAACUCGACUGCGUGAAGUCGGAAUCGCUAGUAAUCGUGGAUCAGCAUGUCGCGGUGAAUACGUUCCGGGUCUUGUACACACCGCCCGUCACACCAUGGGAGUGUUUUACCAGAAGUAGUUAGCCUAACCGUAAGGAGGGCGAUUACCACGGUAGGAUUCAUGACUGGGGUAGUCGUACCAAGGUAG